AAUGUAGUUUAAAUACUAUUUUUCUUACUGAGUUUAUGACGAAUAAACUCCCAAUCCGUGCCCCUCUCUAAAUGAUGAAAAUGAUGAUGCACUUCAUGUAUUGCCCCUGAAGCUUGUUUGGAUUCCUUUUCGGAUCCUUAAAAUAGUUAUGAGUACUUUGUAAUGCUUGCGCUCUAGUAAACAUUUAGAUGACUCUAUUUUGUAUAUUUACUUCUUGAUAGCCAAUCAUUGGCCUCAAGUGCAAU
rnacentral:lncRNA from 1 species